AAAAGCAGAUUUAUAACACAUCUCAAAAGUUAAAAUGGUUGUAAAUGGAUCAGUCCUCUAGUCUUGUACUGUUACUACAUUUGUUUCACAUUUUGCUUUCACAAGAGAGAUAUUUAAUUCAGUUACCCUAGAUGAUUCUAAGAUUAGUCAGAACUUUAUAAUUUAAAAUUUAUUUAAAUUUUAAUUGAAUUAGAAUUUCAUUUCCUAUUUUGUUAGGAUCUGGUAUUUUUUCCCCCUGUUUCUUUAUAAACUAUUGCAAAUCUAGAAUGUGCAUAAUGCAGCAUAAAGCAGGGAAACGAGUGAGAUUGUUCAACUAAGGAUCAUUAGUAACCCUGGUAUCAUGAAAUGAAUGGAGAGAAUUUUAUAUAACUAUGGACUUUCUGAAAUUCCUAAACAUUUUACAGUGGAAAAUUAGCUGACAUGACAUUUUCUUUCACACAAAAGAAUAAUUAAAAUAAUAACUACCUCUUUGUAUUUAGGGUUCUAGAAGCAUGCCACAAGAAAUCAGCUUUGUGCUUAAAAAGUCUGGUCUUUCAUUGUUUAAAGCUAGUGUUAUUUACAAAUCCUUAUUGAUCGGUGUUUCCCACUUUGACAAUUUAGUUAAUUUUUUGAAGUUUUUGCAAAAUUUUCUAGGAAAUGGCUUAUAUUAAAAGAUGAAUGAAUGACUAAUUUUCAAUUAACUCAGAUGAUCUAAUUAAACUUAAUUAUAUAAAAUACAUUAAUACCCAAACACUAUUAAAAUGAAUUACUUAGAUGCCAAAAUAUAUGUCACAGUGUUAAGAAUUAUGCGUUUAUGUAACAAAAAUAUCUAAUUUCUAUUAUAAAUAUUUGCCAAAAUACUGAGGCAGAAUUAUGAGACUUUGCAUAUAGUGCAAACACAAUUGCAUAUUUAAAACAAGGCAAAAAAGGUAUAGAUAAGGCAUCUAAUGCAGCAGUGCUCCAUGUAUGCAUAAUCAAACAUGAGAGAAAGCUAUGUUCUGAUUGUUCCGGGAAUCCUCCAGAGUAGUAAGUAUAGUUCUUAGAACUGUAGUUCUUCAACAUGAAUAGGUGUGUCUGUUCUUGACUCCUCUUAAUUCUCAAUAUACAACACAAUAAUGAAGGAACAGGAAUGGAACAAGGUUCUGUACCAGUCAGGGUUCUUCAGAGAAAGAGAACCAAUAUGUAUAUUACAUUUACAGCUAGCUGGCUAGAUAUAUUUUAAGGAAUUGGUUCAUGAGAUUGUGGGGACUAACAAGCCUGAAAUCUCAGAGUUGACACACAGAGUAACCUGUCAGGAAAUUUCUGUGUGGCAAGCAUGGUGGUGGAAUGCAGUCUGGAAAUUUUUCAGACAAAGCCCAACCUGCUCAAGGGUAGCUGGGGAAAGGAGGUAAAACAAGUGUCAUCUCUUGCCCCUUCUUCCCCCCAGGAAUCCCCUACACUUUUACCUAGUGACUAUGCAGCCACAGUGGUGAGCAGAGGGGAAGAUGUGGUCUACAUGAGCUAGGAAAUGAUGGUUUAAUCAUUUCUGCAAAACCUGGGUGUAAAGGGUCAGUAUCUAGAUGAUUUAUGACUGCUCUUGACAAAUAGUUCUUGUGGGUCAGGUGGAAGGGUCAUUUUUUGGUAAAAAUGUGAUGAGAGUGUAGAUAAGGUUUUACUUUGAAAUACCACUUGUGGAUGCCGUUUGGGCCUCCCCUUUCACUCACCUUGGCCCAAUAAUAAAUUAAUACUAUCAGACCAAUAGCUAGUCUUAAUUAAGACUAGUGGGGGAUUUGAGGUUUUCAUCUCUCUUGCUUUCUGAAUCUCCGAUAUGUUUUCCUCUUUGACUACAUUAUGCUAAAAACUUGUGAACUGGGACACAGAAAACAGGAACAAUAAUGGAAAGACUGGGUCCUGGAUAAGCAUACAAUUAUUCACUAUUUAAAAGUCUUGAAGGUAUAAUCCAAAAUGUGGGUCAUGGAAAUUUUUAAGGACAUGGCAAUGUUAUGAGACAAUCUUACAGUCUUCUUUUGUGUAACAGGUCAGUUAAAUAAUGAAGGGUAAGAUUGAAAAGUAAGACUUAAGCAACAUGAUAAUGAGAAGGAAUUUUGUUUCCAACUUUACCUUAAGCAACAUGGAUAUUUAAUAAAAUCCCUUGGAAGUUACUUUCCUAUUUCUCCCUAGAAUAACUUGACCAAUGAGAAAAUGCAACAUAUAACCCACUAAUAAAAUAGUUACAAAUAAACACAGACUUUCCUUUGUUUCAGAGUGAUUUCAUGCAAGAAAUGAAAUAACUAACGAAAGCCACAGUUAUUAUCGUCCAGUGAAGGCAAAGUAUUUACUAAAACCAUAACCCUUAAAGUUAACUGAAAAUACUGCGGGAAGACUGCUGAGUAUUUGCCCCAAGUGACUUUUUAGCAGUCUAUACAUCUAUAAUACUGUCAGAGUUUAUUUUAUUAUUUUAAAGGUUUUCAAUUUACUACUCAUAUCAGGACCAACAGUUAACAAGUUCAGUCAUUUCUUUAUUUACUCAUGGUUAAAAAAUAACUGAAAAACAAACAAUCCAAAGUUGGGGGAGAGAGAAGGAAGGAAAAGCAUGCUUCCAUGAUGCCUUUCUAAAGGCAAAAAGUUAAAACAUUCCUACACUUGAAAAUGACUGAAAUAUUUUAAUAAUCUUUCACUUCCCAGAUGAGGCCAGGUGGAAGCAAUAUGGCAGUGUUACUGGGAAUUCCUGGGGCUUGGACAAGGCUUCAGAAGGGUUCCUUCCUUGGCUCCUCUCAACCACAAAGAAAAAGUGCUUUGUUUGCUCUAAAGAGAAUUCAGGAGAAAUACCCGCUGUUUUACAGCAGAUAAAACUACUGAGGUAUGUCUCUUCUAGCUAGAAGCAAGAUAAUGGACAGUUAUUAGACCUCUACUUCUAUUAUAUUACCUGAUAAAAAACAGAUGAAUUAGGCUCUCUACUUCUAACAUAUUACCUUG
ensembl:lncRNA